rnacentral:misc_RNA from 1 species
GUUUUCUUUUUCGUAUUGCUGCCAUAUGGUGUUGCAGUUUCUUCAUUUAGUAGUCUCAAGCUUUCUCCUCUUAUUUUUCUUUCUUAAAAAAGGUCUUUGAACUUAGGUAUUCUAAUUGUUGAGUGGUGAUAAUCUUUUCCAAAUUCUUUCUGACUCUUCGAGGUUUUUCUAGGGUUCUUGAAGGUAAGAUAUAGGUUGGUGGCGAAUUUUUCCAAUUCCUUUUCUUUUAUCGUCUUUCCGUUGCCUGUAAAGUGAAUUUUGAUAGCAAG